rnacentral:rRNA from 1 species
CGGUGGACCCACCUGACCCCAUGCCGAACUCAGCAGUGUAACGCCGUAGCUCCGAUGGUAGUGUGGGGUCUCCCCAUGUGAGAGUAGGGAUCUGCCAGGC